CCAGCAGCGCGGUAAUACGAAGGUCCAAGCGUGUCGGAUCACUGGGCGUAAAGGGUGCGUAGGCGGCGUGGUAAGUCAGAUGUGAAAUCCCGGGGCUCAACCUCGGAACUGCAUCCGAUACUGCCAUGCUUGAGGACUGGAGAGGUGACUGGAAUUCUCGGUGUAGCAGUGAAAUGCGUGGAUAUCGAGAGGAACACUCGUGGCGUAAGCGAGUCACUGGACGGUAUCUGACGCUGAGGCACGAAGGCCAGGGUAGCGAAAGGGAUUAGAUACCCCUGUAGUCCUGGCAGUAAACGGUGUGCGCUUGGUGUGAGGGGAUUCGACCCCCCUUGUGCCGGAGCUAACGCGUUAAGCGCACCGCCUGGGAAGUACGGCCGCAAGGCUAAAACUCAAAGAAAUUGACGGGGACCCGCACAAGCGGUGGAGUAUGUGGCUUAAUUCGAUGCAACGCGAAGAACCUUACCUAGGCUUGACAUGCAUCUCUAAGCGCGUGAAAGCGCGUGACCCUUCGGGGGAUUUGCACAGGUGCUGCAUGGCCGUCGUCAGCUCGUGUCGUGAGAUGUUGGGUUAAGUCCCGCAACGAGCGCAACCCUUGUGAUUAGUUGCCAGCGGGUUAUGCCGGGGACUCUAGUCAGACUGCCCAGAUCAACUGGGAGGAAGGUGGGGACGACGUCAGGUCAGUAUGGCCCUUACGCCUAGGGCUGCACACGUACUACAAUGCCCAGCACAAUGAGAACCGAGACCGCGAGGUGGAGGAAAUCUGUAAAACUGGGCUCAGUUCGGAUUGGAGGCUGCAACUCGCCUCCAUGAAGCCGGAAUCGCUAGUAAUGCGGCAUCAGCUACGGCCGCGUGAAUACGUUCCCGGGUCUUGUACACACCGCCCGUCACAUCAUGGAAGCCGGUCGCACCCGAAGUGCCUGAGCCAACCGCAAGGAGGCAGGGCCCUAAGGUGUAAACGUGGUAACUGGGAU
rnacentral:rRNA from 1 species